UGGUGACUGGCGAGCGGCGGCUGAAGGCCCGCUUGGCGGCGCUGCUUCCCGACCUUCUGGUCUUUCGGAAACCGCGGGGAUCGGAACCUGAGGUUGCCACGGCCCAGGGCGUCCUCCUAGGCGUCCAUGUGACGGAUAUGCUCUGUUUUGGAGGGGAUAUCCUAAAUAUCACAGGGAACGUGCUUCUGGCACUCUGGAGAGUAGAACAAAACCAACUGAGUGACAUCAUUACCUUGGUGGCAAAAUGCAGUCUGGAGAUACAGGAGAAAUUUGGGAUCUGUCAUACCAGAGAAGGCCAGGACCUGCAGUUAAAGUGAAGGUCUGUCUGCAGGUCGGAUUUCCCAGGUUAUUGUUGGAGAUGAGCAGCAGCAAUACCUCUUGGUGAUUGGGCGGGAUGUAGACGAUGUCCAGUUAGCUCAGCGUUUGGCUCAGGCAAAUGAGAUUGUUUUGUCCUGGAACUGCUGGAUGCUCUGCAAGCAGUAUAUGUUUGAAGUGGAAGUCAUGAGGAGGAUGAACCUAACCCAGAUGAAGACUUGUUUCCAUCAGUGUCACCAAUGGACCAGUGUUCUGUGGUGUGGUUGGAGCAGUAGCAAGACAUGAAUAUACAUGUAGAAUAGGACAUUGGACUGCUAGCUUUGUGACUUAAGGGAGGAAAGAAGAAGACGUAGUCCAAAAAUUCUACAGCUGUCUUUCUGACAGUUAUUGGCCCAAAAGUGAGUCUUGCAGCCAGAAUGAUAACUGCUUAUCCAGGUUUGGUGUCCUGUGAUGAGGUAAUGUAUCUAAGAUUCAUGCUACUUGCUUACAAGUUCAAGAAACUCCCAGAGAAAAUGAUGAAAAACAUCUCUGACCCAGGGAACAUAUAUGAAUAUCUUGGCCACAGAAGAUGCAUAAUGUUUGGAAAAAGACAUUUGGCAAGAAAGAGAAACAUAAAUCACCCUUUGUUAGGUAUGUUUUCUUUUGUAACUUAAAUCAUAUUUGUUUCAGCUGUAGAUGGCUAAAUGUGAUUUAAAAAACAAAACAAUGCAAGACUAAAUGCUUUUAAGUUUAUUAAAAAAUAGCAACCUUCUUAGUGAAAUUUUGAAGAGAACGUACUAUUUCUUUUUCAUGUCAAAUAUCCAAAUUUCAGGUGAAGUCCUAUAAGUGCCUGAGAAACACCAACAUUUAAUAAUAAUCUUUGUUAAGUCAGAGUUCAGCUAUUGAGAUCAGACCAGCUUAUUGUGGAUCAUCUUUAGAGAAAAAUUCCUCAUCCUUAGCUUCUGGGUUGGGGCACUUUCAGGCUGCUUGGUGCCAGUGGCCUGCCUGAGAAAAAUUCCUCAUCCUUAGAAUAGUGAAAAUAGCACCAAGACUGUGAUCACCCACACUAUGUAUUCCCUAUCUUUAUGUUUAUUUUAGUCUAUGCUUAUUAGUCCAUUAUUUGCACAUAGUAGUAACAGAUCUUGAAGACUAAAUUGAUUUUAAGAAAAUUUUUACAAAAAACAUAAAAGGUACUCAUGUCCAAAAGAUGCCUAAUUUUUCUGAAUGUUGCUACGUAGGCUCUGGAAUAAGCCCUCAAGACCAACAUAUGUUAGCUCAGAAUUGAUUUUCUGGAAAGAGAUAUGAAGCCCCAUCAAUAAAUGAGAUUUUUACAAUUCUGGAGGAAAAAGGCCAUUCUGAGAGUUAGCUUUGCAAACUGAUUCAAUUCAAUAGAAUAUCUACUAAGAAGCACAGGAGUGUUAGGUGAUCCCUGUCUCUCUACAAACCGGGAGAAAGAACUGGAAGUGUUCCAAGUGGCACAGCAAAAGUGUUUGCAUCAGAAGAAGGGACAAGCAGUUCUGUAUGAAGGUGGAAAAGGCUAUGGAAAAAGCCAGCUGUUGGCUGAAAUAAACUUCCUGGCCCAAAAGGAAGGGCGUAGGUAAAGACUCCUGCAUUCUGACUUAGUCAGAGCCUAUUUCUCUUGGGGCUUCUUUCCCUUGUUACUGAGACUCUUGUGUCAUUAGAUUCAGCAUUCUUGGACUGGUGAAGCGAGUAACCUAUGUGUGGUAUGUGGGACUCUUGAUGACCAUAGUAAUAUUCACCAGGGUGUUGCCAUUUAUGCUGAAGGAAGCAGAUUCCAAACAGUGCUUCUAUGCCAUCCAGACCCUUAUGGCCAUCUUCUUUGAAACUGAUACAUGCCCAGCCUAUUACCGGCAAGAGUACCUACAAAGACAGCUUCAUGGGUUAAUGGAAGAACAACUUCACUGCCUUUUUAAUGACCUCUUAUUUGUGAAGAUAAUGAAGACAUUGGCUUUCUGAAUUAGAUUACUAUUACAUUUUGUGGAUAUUCAGAUUUAGGAUUGUCUUCUAUCUAAUAAUCUGAGGAUACACAUAUGCGUAUAUGGUGGGACCAAGAUUUGAAAUUCCUUCAACACCAAAACUCAGGCUUUCUCCUUUCUAGUUGAAUGUCCUGGAGCAAAUCACUUAGCCUCUCUGAGUCACAGUUUUUUCAUCUGUGAAAUAACAAUUAUAGUACUGUAUAUGUUUUAAUGUGAAUUUUAAAGUAGAUGGUAAACAAGAGAUAAUGCAAUGAAAAUGUAUAUUUUCAAGUGCUAAAUGCAUUUAAGGUGGCCAUCACCAGUGGCAUAUCCCCAGGAAUUAUAUCCAUGUGUUCUUGAGUUGGUUACAAUUUCUUUUAUCUUUUAACCAUAACUUCCUGUUCCCUUACUGCAGAAUAUAUCUUUUUGAAACCAGCAUCUGUAUCUCAAAAGCCUUCAGAGGUCUAGGGUGUGUGGGAUAUCCAGUAGUAAGCAAACUAAAAAUUCACUGGUGCACAAUUUGCUUUAUUUAUCCUCUAUCACUUCUAAUCUACCCACCCUGCAGAGUAUUAUGGAAUAGAAAAUAGAGACACUAAGAUCUGUCUAAUCCUUCAACAUAUCCCUCUCUUAAGGUAGGCCUUGCUUGGGACUCUAAACUCUUGCCUACAUAGAUUAGCAGUCAUCUCACUUUGGCUCUCAGGUCCCUCAUAGUUCGCAUGCCCCAACCUAGCACAGGAAACAAUGUUAGGUGAUGUCUAUUGCAUCUUGUUCUGACAAGUCUCAUGUAUAGGUUGGUCCUGGUAUACUUGGAAUAAUUAGGAUACUGGAGCUGCCCAAAAUGUCAUUGCUAAGUUCAAUCUGUCAUUUACUCCUUAGUCAUAACCCUCUAAGGGUUUUUCUAGAGUCUGGUAUGGAAAAGAGAUAGAUACCUGUCUCUAACCCUUCACGAACUCUCUCACCCUUCGAACUAUAUAUUAAUGUUAGAUAGGCCCUUGUAACUCUGUGCUCAAUCUUGCAGAAACCCAUUCUCAGUCCAAAUAGAAUUGUUUGGUGUUCCCUUUGGAGAACCUGCAUGUUUUUAUUAGAUUUUCAUGUUAAAUGCUAACAUGUAAUAAUUUUCCUGGUCAGUUUCCUUUGUCCUUCAAAGUUUCACACGUGGAUGACGAGGCCAGACAAAAGAAGGUUAAAGCAUAUUUUAUUAAAGUACUUCAGGAGGAUUAUGGAAUCAAAAAUCUGUAUGAGCAGAAACUGAUGUAACAACCAUUCUGGAAAGCAAUCUAAAAGUAGCCAAAUUUUAAUAACAUGUAUCUCUAGACCCAGCAAUUCAACUCCUGUAUAUAUAUCCCAACAAGUACAUUUUUAACAGUGUUUGUGGAGGUCAGGUAGUGAGAGAAACACUACUGAUUUUCCUCAUUGAUGAGGCCCAGGAUAUGGAUGCAGCUUCCUGGGAAUUUUUGAAAACAUUGCUCUCCAGUAUGCCCAUCAUCAUGGUGAUGACGUUGACCCCUAUCUUCACCCUGUGUGGCUGAGCCCAGCAUUUCCUGCAGAGCCCUCAGGCUAUCCUUAUGCCUAUUUCGAAAUUGGCAACAACCUCACUGUUGAGAAUGGCAUGUUGGGAACUAGGGGUGGUGAGCAUCCCCCAAGAGCUGCAGGUGUGAGUGGCUAGGACUAGCUGAGCACUUCAUUAAGGGAGAAGCCAGUGCCAUAGUUUAAGUGAGAAGCUGCAGGUCUUACUGGAAUUGGGGGAGAGAAUGGUAUUAGUAACCAUGAUGAGGCCCUGAGACUAGAUAUAAGGGAAACAGUCUUCUUGUAAUCAAGUAAGGGGCUGCCUCCCUGGGCUCUCCACCUAGGUUUUCACAAGACAAUUAGGACUUGGGUGGCUUGCUUCAUGUGUCAGUUAUAUGUGAUCAGGCCACUUUCCGCCAGACCCUUUAGCAAGGGGAUGUUUGUUUCUUUCAACAUCAAUAAAAGCAAAAUAGUUGAGAAAGAAAAGUUAUUGCCAAGAUGCAUUUCAAGGCCAAUCAGAAAUUACUUUUUUACAUUUCUGUGCUUCUGCCUCCCUCUGUUAGUGUUUGCCAUGAAGAGCUGACUUUAACAAAAGAAGAUUCCUCAGUAUGAAGUACUGUUAUGCUUGGCUCCCCUAAAAUGGUCAUCUGUAAUGUGAAAUCCCUUAUCUCCCUGCAGCUACCUUCACAGGUGCUUUGGAAACCCCCUUUAUUGUGAGGUCCUAUGCCAAGACCUUCUCUGUAAGGACAUAUUGCUCUUUCAUGACCUACAAAAGGAGGAAGAGGAAAACAGCAAGUGGAAAAAUCUCUCAGCCAUUGCCAUGAAAUCCACAAUGUAUAGUAUUUCUCCUGCCAACUCUGACGAAGGUCAGGAACUUUAUGUCUGCACAGUCAAGGAUGAUGUGAACUUGGAUAUGGUGCUUCUCUCACCCUUUUUGAAAGGUAAGUCCCUUGAAGACCUCAAGUGAACCAAUUACAGAUAUCAUUGCAAUUUGUAAUUUGGUGGGUGGUUGAGUAUAGGUCUCUAAUUAUCAUUCUGGCUUCAUUUCUUCUGAAAAAGAAAUCUACCUUCUAGAAAUAAGUUCUGGCAUUGACUGAAGAGCUCUUUGAAGACUUGUAAUGCUACUUGAGUAAGGUUUUACUUAAGUGAGCUCAUUGUUCUCUUUGGGACUGACUGAUGACCUGGAAAAGUUUUCCAAUUAUUUAAUUAAAAAUAGGUCCUUAGUUUCCCUUUGUGCAUAUUCUUUUUCCAGAGUAGACAGUAAGCAAAGGAGAUAAUGUUGCUGAGAUUUAAGAAAAUCCAUGGUGUUAGUGAGGAUACAAUGUUAUGCACAUAGCAAGAGUUUAAUAAAAAAAGAGUGCAAAGUAGAAUGACUGUUGCCAUAAAGAAUAAAGAAGCUAUCAGAAUCAGGUAGGCAUAGUUGGAGAGGGGAUGUUCUUCUUAGAAAUGAAUUGUUUCUUAUUUUAAUAUUUUAUUCAAGUGUCUGGUGGGUAAGGUACUAAUACUUGAGGAAUAUUGUGAUGAACAAGCAUACCUUCAAGUUAGUUAUAGCCAUUGCCAUGAAAUCCACAAUGUAUAGUAUUUCUCCUGCCAACCGUGAAGAAGGUCAGGAACUUUAUGUCUGCACAGUCAAGGAUGAUGUGAACUUGGACACGGUGCUUCUCCCACCCUUUUUGAAAGGUAAGUCCCUUGAAGACCUCAAGUGAACCAAUUACAGAUAUCAUAAUUAGACACACACAUGAAACAGCAGUAUAGGACACCAUGGUAGUUAAGGGCCAGGGCUCUAAAGUCAGAAAACCUGGGACACCAUGGGCUCCUGCACUUACCGGCUAUGGAACUUUCAAUAAGUUAGUCAACUUCUCACUCAUCAGUCAAAUGAAGAUAAUAAUAGUUCCUACCUCAUGGGGCGAGUUGAGGAUUAAAUGAAAUAAUUUAGGACAUAAUAAAUAUUCCAUGACUGUUAGCUAUUACAUUACAAGCUCUUUACUCUGGAGGUUUUAGGUUCAACAGAGACAGUUUACAAUGAUACAACUAUGAUAGACCAUACUUGGCAAUGGCUUUCCUUAGAAGGAAAUACAGCAUGCUAACAGGACAGCGGCAUGUGCUUUUCUUCAAUGAAAGUUUUCACAGCAGCUUGCAUAGCCUUCCAGGGGCUAAUCUCUGGAGCCUCAAGUAAUAGCUCAGCUAUGGUGAAUGAAACCAUGACUCAUGGGUGCUUAGAAGACCAACUAAAGGCUUUGUUUCUUAUAAUGGUCCAAACAGGCAUCGCUUUCAGGAUCUCCAAGGGGCAUGGCCGAUUACAAGAAUUACUAUACCCAAGGAAACCCAAAUCUGUGGCUUACCACAAGUUAAUUCAGUUUUCCCAGUCCAAAUUCAGUUUCCCAAUUAGAGGUUAUUCUUAGCAUAAGCAAUGUUACCUGGCAACACAGCUGAUAUUCUAAGUGUUCCUAGGAAACAGGAAAAUUAACCCAAGGUAAACAUUUUCAGGUAAGGAAAAAGGGCUUGUUAAUUCACAAACUAAAAUGAAUAGCUCAAACACCCUUGGUCAAGAUAAAAGGCCAAACUAUAUUGUGAAAGCCCAUAUAUAAGUUGUAAAAGUGCCUAAGAAGGGGACUAGCAUGAUUAUAUAUAGAUAUAUAAUUCUGCUACCAGUUAAUAUAUUAUUGGAAUAAGAAUGGGAGGAAAUUAGAUAUGUACAAAACAGGGUAUUAUAAUGAUCCAGUUGAAAAAGAGUAUUUGUAAUAACAUUGUUUAGGAGAAAACAUACUCAAAAGAAAGAUGAGGAGACUGAGAGAGAAGAUGGCACUGUAGGACCAACUCAGGAUUGCAGCUCCUAGUGAAACCACAGAUGAAACAGCAGUAAGCCAACUCGAUCAACUGAGCCCAGAGGAACAGUUGCUGGUCAAAUGUGCUGCAAUCGUUGCUCACACCUUCCAUACAGAUCUGUUGCAGCACCUCCUGCCUGGCUGGGAUAAAAAUAAGCUACUUCAGGUGUUGAGAGCUCUUGUGGAUAUACAUGUGCUCUGCUGGUCUGAGAAGAGUCAAGAGCCUCCUAAUGAGCCCAUAUUAGUGCCUUUCUCUAUCCACACCACUGAUCAAACCAAAGAAAAUAAGACAAAGUUAGGUGCAAAGAAUGACAUAAAAGGAUAAACCAUCCCCUAUUUUAGAAACUCCCAAGGAAGACAAACAUAUGUGGUAUUGAAACAGACAUGAACAAAGCAAGAUAUAAAUAGCUUACAAUCUUGAAUUUUCCACCUGAAAAUAAAAUUGUAGCAUGGACUACCCAAAGCACAUACAAUUUUCCUUUGACUUUGAAAUAUGUUUGAACCCUAUAUUUGAACAGAGCAUUCCCUAUGAUUUAACAUUUAUAAUAAUUUGAAGUAAAAUCUCAAUUUAGAGAAACUAUUAUGAAAUCAAUGGUAUAUUUUUGUACUAUUGAUCAUUUCUUCUCUGUUAUACUUUAUACUAGAUAUGGUCAAUAUCGAUCUCAGAAUAAUGCAAAAAUUUUUAUACAAAGGAGGCGGUAAUAUCAUCCUAAAUUUACAAAUAGAAUUUUCUUCUACCCUAGCAGCCAUGUGCUUGGGACUCUGCCAUAUUGAAGCUCGAAAAGUUUAUAAGGGAAAAUCUCACUUAGAUUUUCC